GACGAACGCUGGCGGCGUGCUUAACACAUGCAAGUCGAGCGAGAAAAGUUCUUCGGAGCUUUUCUAGCGGCGGACGGGUGAGUAACACGUGGGCAACCUGCCUGAUAGAGGGGGAUAGCCUUCCGAAAGGAAGAUUAAUACCGCAUAACAUCAUUUUAAGGCAUCUUAGAAUGAUCAAAGGAGCAAUCCGCUAUCAGAUGGGCCCGCGUCCCAUUAGCUAGUUGGUGAGGUAACGGCUCACCAAGGCCACGAUGGGUAGCCGACCUGAGAGGGUGAUCGGCCACAUUGGGACUGAGACACGGCCCAGACUCCUACGGGAGGCAGCAGUGGGGAAUAUUGCACAAUGGGGGAAACCCUGAUGCAGCAACGCCGCGUGAGUGAUGAAGGCCUUCGGGUUGUAAAGCUCUGUCUUCAGGGACGAUAAUGACGGUGCCUGAGGAGGAAGCCACGGCUAACUUCGUGCCAGCCGCCGCCGUAAUAC
rnacentral:rRNA from 1 species